UAACUUGGGUGCCAUCAUGAAUUGCCCACCCAUGGGCACCCAUCUGCUUCCUGUUUGUUCCCUUGGGUUCUCGCUGAGUCACACUUCUACGGCUCCCGGGUGAGACUCCACUCCGCAGUCACCAUUUGGAAAUAUUGUCAUAUCUAUUCUUAGCUGAUUUAGCUGACCAAUGCAUAUUCCCCUGAGGAAGCCCGAUAGGGCGAAAUAUAUUGGGACUCAAUACCGUAUACGACCACCAUCUCAAACUAUCUGGGGUCACAGCGGCCCAUUCAAUCUGCUGUUUGUUUUCAAUUGUAUUUUAUUGAAUCCUAUUGUUUUUUUGUCUUUUUGUUCUAUAUAUCAUGGUUUUAUGAUAUCUUAUUAAAACAUUUAAAAUUA